GGUUUGAUCAUGGCUCAGAUUGAACGCUGGCGGGAUGCUUUACACAUGCAAGUCGAACGGCAGCACGGACUUCGGUCUGGUGGCGAGUGGCGAACAGGUGAGUAAUGUAUCGGAACGUGCCUAGUAGCGGGGGAUAACUACGUAGCGUAGCUAAUGCCUGCCCGCUCGAAGCCAGGGGACCUUCGGGCCUCGCGCACUAUUGGAGCGGCCGAUAUCGGAUUGGCUAGUUGGUGGGGUAACGGCUCGCAAGGCGACGAUCCGUAGCUGGUUUGAGAGGACGACCAGCCACACUGGGACGGGGACACGGCCCAGACUCCUACGGGAGGCAGCAGUGAAAUUUUGGACAAUGGGGAAACCUGAUCCAGCCAUCCCGCGUGUGCGAUGAAGGCCUUCGGGUUGUAAAAGCACUUUUGGCAGGGGAAAGAAACGGCGGGUAUUACCCCGUGCAACUGACGGUACCUGCAGAAUAAGCUGCCGGCUAACUACGUGCCAGCAGCCGCCUUGUUAAUACGUAAGUGCAAGCGUUAAUCGGAAUUACUGGGCGUAAAGCGUGCGCAGGCGGUUCGGAAAAGAAAGAUGUGAAAUCCCAGAGCUUAACUUUGGAACUGCAUUUUUAACUACCGAGCUAGAGUGUGUCAGAGGAGGUGGAAUUCGCGUGUAGCAGUGAAAUGCGUAGAUAUGCGGAGAACACCGAUGGCGAGGCGACCACUCCUGGGAUACUGACGCUCAUGCACGAAAGCGUGGGAGCAAACAGGAUUAGAUACCCUGGUAGUCCGCCCUAAACGAUGUCAACUAGCUGUUGGGGCCUUCGGGCCUUGGUAGCGCAACUAACGCGUGAGGAUUGACCGCCUGGGAAGUACGGUCGCAAGAUUAAAACUCAAGGAAUUGACAGGGACCCGCACAAGCGGUGGAUGAUGUGGAUUAAUUCGAUGCAACGCGAAAAACCCUUACCUACCCUUGACAUGUCUGGAAUCCGAAAGAGAUUUAGGAGUGCUCGCAAGAGAACCGGAACACAGGUGCUGCAUGGCUGUCGUCAGCUCGUGUCGUGAGAUGUUGGGUUAAGUCCCGCAACGAGCGCAACCCUUGUCAUUAGUUGCUACGAAGGGCACUCUAAUGAGACUGCCGGUGACAAACCGGAGGAAGGUGGGGAUGACGUCAAGUCUCAUGGCCCUUAUGGGUAGACUACGUCAUACAAUGGUCGGGACAGAGGGUCGCCAACCCGCGAGGGGGAGCCAAUCCCAGAAACCCGAUCGUAGUCCGGAUCGCGAUCUGCAACUCGACUGCGUGAAGUCGGAAUCGCUAGUAAUCGCGGAUCAGCAUGUCGCGGUGAAUACGUUCCGGGUCUUGUACCGCCCGUCACCAUGGGAGUGGGUUUUACCGUAGUUAGCCCACAACCCAAUGGAGGGCGAUUACCACGUGGGAUUCAUGACUGGGGUGAAGUCGUAACAGAGUAG
rnacentral:rRNA from 1 species